rnacentral:rRNA from 1 species
GACGAACGCUGGCGGCGUGCCUAAUACAUGCAAGUCGAACGAACCGCGACUAGGUGCUUGCACUUGGUCAAGGUGAGUGGCGAACGGGUGAGUAACACGUGGGUAACCUACCUCAUAGUGGGGGAUAACAGUCGGAAACGACUGCUAAUACCGCAUAGGACAUAGGAUCACAUGAUCCAGUGAGGAAAGGUGGCGCAAGCUAUCGCUAAGAGAUGGACCCUCGGUGCAUUAGCUAGUUGGUAGGGUAAAUGCCUACCAAGGCGAUUAUGCAUAGCCGACCAGAAAGAGUAAACUGCGAAAUUGGGACUGAAACAAGGCCCAAACUCCUGAGGGAGGCAGCAGGCGGGAAUCUUACGCAAUGGACGCAAGUCUGACGGAGCAACGCCGCGUGAGUGAAGAAGAUCUUCGGAUCGUAAAGAUCUGUUGCUAGAGAAGAACAGCGCAUAGAGUAACUGUUAUGCGUGUGACGGUAUCUAACCAGAAAGCCACGGCUAACUACGUG